rnacentral:rRNA from 1 species
AACGAACGCUGGCGGCAUGCCUAAUACAUGCAAGUCGAACGAGAUCUUCGGAUCUAGUGGCGCACGGGUGCGUAACGCGUGGGAAUCUGCCCUUGGGUUCGGAAUAACUUCUGGAAACGGAAGCUAAUACCGGAUGAUGACGUAAGUCCAAAGAUUUAUCGCCCAAGGAUGAGCCCGCGUAGGAUUAGCUAGUUGGUGGGGUAAAGGCCCACCAAGGCGACGAUCCUUAGCUGGUCUGAGAGGAUGAUCAGCCACACUGGGACUGAGACACGGCCCAGACGCCUACGGGAGGCAGCAGUAGGGAAUAUUGGACAAUGGGCGAAAGCCUGAUCCAGCAAUGCCGCGUGAGUGAUGAAGGCCUUAGGGUUGUAAAGCUCUUUUACCCGGGAUGAUAAUGACAGUACCGGGAGAAUAAGCUCCGGCUAACUCCGUGCCAGCAGCCGCCGUAACAC